AUUGAACGCUGGCGGCAGGCCUAACACAUGCAAGUCGAGCGAGCGGCGGACGGGUGAGUAAUGUCCGGGAAACUGCCUGUUGGAGGGGGCUAACUACUGGAAACGGUAGCUAAUACCGCAUACCAUCAGACGUGCCCAGAUGGGAUUAGCUAGUAGGUGGGGUAACGGCCCACCUAGGCGACGAUCCCUAACUGGUCUGAGGGGAUGACCAGCCACACUGGAGCUGAGACCCGGUCCAGAAUCCUACGGGAGGCAGCGGUGGGGAAGAUUGGACGAUGGGCGAGAGCCUGAUGCAGCCAUGCCGCGUGUGUGAAGAUGGCCUUCGGGUUGUAAAGCCCUUUCAGCGAGGAGGCGUUACCCGCAGAAGAAGCACCGGCUAACUCCGUGCCAGCAGCCGCGGUAAUAC
rnacentral:rRNA from 1 species